rnacentral:misc_RNA from 1 species
CUAGUUCCUCCAUUAACAAAAAGAAGAAGAAGAAGCCCCAUAUACUACUGCUACUCAAUCCAUCGGUGCACCUAGAGCUCGGGUCCAUGUCCAUGACUCCUCGUUACAUCUACGCCCACGGGCCGGACGGGAGCUACUCCUUAAACAUCCAGCUCACCGCGCUACCGUGCCCCGGCAUGGCGCUCCACCUCAACACCGUCAUCGACCUCACCGUAGACAAUUACUGGCUGUUCCGCAUCCCGCCCAUCACCAUCGACUUCCUCAACAAGCUGCCGCAGCAGAGCGAGGCCCCGACGCCGGCAUCAGCCGUUACCACCCAGCUUACCCGCCGCUUCACGU